rnacentral:rRNA from 1 species
GCAGUCGAGCGAACGGACGAGAAGCUUGCUUCUCUGAUGUUAGCGGCGGACGGGUGAGUAACACGUGGAUAACCUACCUAUAAGACUGGGAUAACUUCGGGAAACCGGAGCUAAUACCGGAUAAUAUUUUGAACCGCAUGGUUCAAAAGUGAAAGACGGUCUUGCUGUCACUUAUAGAUGGAUCCGCGCUGCAUUAGCUAGUUGGUAAGGUAACGGCUUACCAAGGCAACGAUGCAUAGCCGACCUGAGAGGGUGAUCGGCCACACUGGAACUGAGACACGGUCCAGACUCCUACGGGAGGCAGCAGUAGGGAAUCUUCCGCAAUGGGCGAAAGCCUGACGGAGCAACGCCGCGUGAGUGAUGAAGGUCUUCGGAUCGUAAAACUCUGUUAUUAGGGAAGAACAUAUGUGUAAGUAACUGUGCACAUCUUGACGGUACCUAAUCAGAAAGCCACGGCUAACUACGUGCCAGCAGCCGCGGUAAUACGUAGGUGGCAAGCGUUAUCCGGAAUUAUUGGGCGUAAAGCGCGCGUAGGCGGUUUUUUAAGUCUGAUGUGAAAGCCCACGGCUCAACCGUGGAGGGUCAUUGGAAACUCACAAAACUUGAGUGCAGAAGAGGAAAGUGGAAUUCCAUGUGUAGCGGUGAAAUGCGCAGAGAUAUGGAGGAACACCAGUGGCGAAGGCGACUUUCUGGUCUGUAACUGACGCUGAUGUGCGAAAGCGU